rnacentral:lncRNA from 1 species
GAGCCGCUGCCGCCCGAGAGGGAGAGAGAGGGAGCCGAGAAGCCACAGCGCGGACGAUCCUUUUCCUCCUCCAUUUGCCGCCGGAAAGAAGCCGCCGGAUCUUCGCCGGGGCUGAGGUUCUGCGAGGAAUUUGUGAAAUUAAUUGGAUUUGUUGUGGAUCGCAUUCAAUGUAAGUAAUGAUCUGCCUUCUCUAGACUCUUCAUUUAUAUAAUAUUAUUUUUACAUCGAAUAAAUUGUUAAUGAAUUUAUAUGGGAUUUAUGAAUUUUACGAGAUGAUGCUUUGAAUGAAAAAUGGAUAUGUGAAUUAGAAUAUUAUUUUUUUUGGACUAUUGUUACAUUACUGUUUUUGCAUCGUAUAUGCAUAUUUAGAUCGGAUUAUGAUAUAUCUAUUAUGUUACAAAAGAAUCUUGAUGUGCAUCAGAUUUAGAACUCUCAGCCCGGCUAUGUUCUGGACCCUGCCAAUAAGGAGUUAUGCAUUGGCAAUUCUAGCCCCACCACAGGGUAUAANNNNNNNNNNNNNNNNNNNNUAAGUAAUGAUCUGCCUUCUCUAGACUCUUCAUUUAUAUAAUAUUAUUUUUGCAUCGAAUAAAUUGUUAAUGAAUUUAUAUGGGAUUUAUGAAUUUUACGAGAUGAUGCUUUGAAUGAAAAAUGGAUAUGUGAAUUAGAAUAUUAUUUUUUUGGACUAUUGUUACAUUACUGUUUUUGCAUCGUAUAUGCAUAUUUAUAUCGGAUUAUGAUAUAUCUAUUAUGUUACAAAAGAAUCUUGAUGUGCAUCAGAUUUAGAACUCUCAGCCUGGCUAUGUUCUGGACCCUGCCAAUAAGGGGUUAUGCAUUGGCAAUUCUGGCCCCACCACAGGGUAUAAGUGUGGUAUUCUGGCCCACUCCGCAGGGUAUAAGUGCGGUAUUCUGGCCCACUCCGCAGGGUAUAAGUGCAGUUCUGUUUCUGGCCUAGCCACAGGAUAUAAGUGUGGUCGUAGCUAAAUGCUGAUGAGAUGAAUAUGAUUUGCUUCAAAUCAGAUUUAUGAUUAUGUAUAUAGAUAUUUGAAAAAAUACGAAUUUUAACGAAUUUGUGCUUGAAAAGGAAUUGAUUAUGUCUUUAUGUUGAUUCAUCGUAAUUUGUAUUUAUAUUUUAUGUUAUUAUAUGAAUUGACUAGUUAAGGUGUUUAUUACUUACUGAGCUGUCUAGCUCAUUAUACACUUUCUUGUUGUUUUACAGAUUUUGAGAACUAACCUAUCGGGGAUUUAAAAUGUGAGAGCGACUAGAAGAACUGAAGCACAAGUUAUCCUAGAUUAGGC